GCCUAAAUAGCUCAGUUGGGAGAGCGUUAGACUAUAAAAUCGAAAAGUCCCUGGUUCGACCCCGGAUUUCGAGU
rnacentral:tRNA from 1 species